rnacentral:lncRNA from 1 species
CUGGAUAUAAGCUGAUCUGCUUUGGGCCCCAUAUAAUUGCAUGUGACACCAAAUGGGAAAAGAGGAUGAAUAUUCUCCUUCCCCUCCCUUGGCGUGAAACUCAGCAGAAUUUUGACACUGUGACAGAAUUUUGGCACUGUGACAGAAUUUUGACAUUGUGACAGAAUUUUGACAUUGUGAUGACGGAGUCCAGGCAGGUCACAGGUGCUGCACUUGAAUGGGGGAUAAUUGAUAAGUGUGAAUGAGAGGAGUAGCAGGAAGAGGAUGAUUUGCCAUUUUGCAAAAAGAGGAGUCACAGAGGGAUCCUAGUGAAGAGGAUUAUAACUUUGCCUGUUUUGUGAUGCGGAGGUGAUGUCAUGUUGUUCUACCAUUUUAUCAUUGUUCCUUCUGAGCCUGAGUGUUCUUUCUCUUGAAGAUUCAAGUGAACCAGGGAAGGAGAAUGACAUCAGACUGGGCUUGUGCCUGAUAAUUCAUUUCUGAAGUGCUUCAAGAUUGACGCAUCAGAUUUGCACAAUGUGCCACUUUAGGAGAUUAUUUCUUCCUUCCUUCAGCCAGACAGAAGACUGCAGUAGGGAUAUGGUUCCUGUUUGCCUAUUUCCAUCCACAACUCUGCCAGAGACGAAAGCAGUGUUUGAAACAAUUCACCAAGAUUUCCAUCUGGAAUCAUCAAGAAUGGAAUUGAUCAAAUUCCUUAAGAAAUUUACUUAAAGUCAUGAUUUUGACAGCCUAGUGCUACCUGGAAAAGGGACAGCAGCAGCCUGGAGCAGUUUUCUAGCUAACAAGAAUUUUGUUAGCUAUGUGGCCACCUAGUGGCUCUUCCAUGGAUGUCGCUGAUGCAUUGUCAGGGCAAUAACAGAGAAAUAGAGGCCACCAUCUGUGUGAAUACUUCACUGUGAUUAUCUCUCACCAUCAUCAAAUAGUUCAGAGCACUGAUCCUCACGAGUUGGACAUUUCCCCAUGAAACAGUAGCCUUCUGAGUUCUUGCAAGGAAAUCCAUUGACCCUGAACUGGUCCUUAGGACAGGCAGGCGAGUGGCCAGUGCACAUCUCAGGAAAAUCACAUUCAUCUUUCGCCGGUCUGCAUAUGGACCCUGCUUUUUUUAUCUGUUGAGGAAAAACAAAGAGACUAAAUCCUGGAUACAUUUAGGGUCAUACUGCUUCCCUGUACUGAAGUGUGAUGUGAGACUAUUCAACUGCUGAAGAUCUGAUUUUACCUUUUGCUCAAGCUGUCCAUUAUUUCAGGCUGACUUUUAUUUUUUAAUGUAUCAUUAAAUAACAUCAAAAUGGUAACUUAUGCCCUAUUUUCUCAAACAAAAUAAAAACUCAAAGAAAAUGGAGUGUG